AAUGAAUGUAAACAUGUGAUCAUUCGUUCAAAAACAAUAACACACGUGAUCCUAGAUUUUGCAGUCAUCGGGAGAACAAAUCCUUCAUGCAAACUGCACCUACUAUCAAGAAGAAGAUCCUAGAUUUGGGCAUGGUAGAUGAUACAGAAAGCAGUACAAUGUCUGUCACAAAUCCUUUUACUGCGGCAGCAUUAAGACCACAAGUCAGUAGAAUAAAUAUGCCUGGAAGAUCGACCCCAGCCAGCAUACUAGCAGAUUCGUUCUUGGCUCCUGAAAACUAUCUUUACUUAC